AGCGAACGCUGGCGGCAGGCCUAACACAUGCAAGUCGAACGAACCUUUCGGGGUUAGUGGCGGACGGGUGAGUAACACGUGGGAACGUGCCUUUAGGUUCGGAAUAACUCAGGGAAACUUGUGCUAAUACCGAAUGUGCCCUUCGGGGGAAAGAUUAAUCGCCUUUAGAGCGGCCCGCGUCUGAUUAGCUAGUUGGUUGAGGUAAUGGCUCACCAAGGCGACGAUCAGUAGCUGGUCUGAGAGGAUGAUCAGCCACAUUGGGACUGAGACACGGCCCAAACUCCGACGGGAAGCAGCAGUGGGGAAUCUUGCGCAAUGGGCGAAAGCCUGACGCAGCCAUGCCGCGUGAAUGAUGAAGGUCUUAGGAUUGUAAAAUUCUUUCACCGGGGACGAUAAUGACGGUACCCGGAGAAGAAGCCCCGGCUAACUUCGUG
rnacentral:rRNA from 1 species